rnacentral:rRNA from 1 species
AUUGAACGCUGGCGGCAUGCCUAACACAUGCAAGUCGAGCGAGCGGCGGACGGGUGAGUAAUGUCUGGGACACUCCUUGCUGGGGGGGGAUAACUACUCGAAUCGGUAGCUCAUACCUCAUACGCUCAGAUGUGCCCAGCUGGGAUUGGCUAGUGGGUGGGGUAACGGCUCACCUAGGCGACGAUCCAUAGCUGGUCUGAGAGGAGGACCAGCCACACUGGAACGGAGACAGGGACCAGAGUCCUACGGGAGGCAGCAAUGGGGAAUAUUGGGCAACGGGCGCAAGCCUGAUGCAGCCAGGGCGCGUGUGUGAAGAAAGCCUUCCGUGUGGAAAGCAGUUUCUGCGGUGAGGCGUUAGCCGCAGAAGAAGCACCGGCUAACUCCGUGCCAGCAGCCGCGGUAAUUC